rnacentral:rRNA from 1 species
UACGUAGGGCGCAAGCGUUGUCCGGAAUUAUUGGGCGUAAAGAGCUCGUAGGUGGUUUGUCGCGUCUGCCGUGAAAGCCCGGGGCUUAACUCCGGGUCUGCGGUGGAUACGGGCAGACUAGAGGCAGGUAGGGGAGAACGGAAUUCCCGGUGUAGCGGUGAAAUGCGCAGAUAUCAGGAGGAACACCGGUGGCGAAGGCGGGUCUCUGGGCCGAUACUGACGCUGAGGAGCGAAAGCGUGGGGAGCGAACAGG